rnacentral:rRNA from 1 species
UACGUAGGGCGCAAGCGUUGUCCGGAAUUAUUGGGCGUAAAGAGCUCGUAGGCGGCUUGUCACGUCGGGUGUGAAAGCCCGGGGCUUAACCCCGGGUCUGCAUUCGAUACGGGCAGACUAGAGUUCGGUAGGGGAGUCUGGAAUUCCUGGUGUAGCGGUGAAAUGACGCAGAUAUCAGGAGGAACACCGGUGGCGAAGGCGGGACUCUGGGCCGAUACUGACGUGAGGAGCGAAAGCGUGGGGGAGCAAACAGG